GCUCACUUCAGCAGCACAUAUACUAAAAUUGGAAUGAUGCAGAGAAGAUUAGCAUGGUCCUGCACAAGGAUGAUACACAAAUUCAUGAAGCAUUCCAUAUUUUU
ensembl:snRNA U6 U6 spliceosomal RNA